rnacentral:tRNA from 1 species
GAAGGUAUAGCUCAAGUGGUAGAGCCCAUGCUUAGUAUGCAUGAAGUCCUAGGUUCAAUCCCCAGUACCUCCU